AGUGAACGCUGGCGGUAGGCCUAACACAUGCAAGUCGAACGGCAGCACAGUAAGAGCUUGCUCUUACGGGUGGCGAGUGGCGGACGGGUGAGGAAUACAUCGGAAUCUACUUUUUCGUGGGUGAUAACGUAGGGAAACUUACGCUAAUACCGCAUACGACCUACGGGUGAAAGCAGUGGAUCUUCGGACCUUUCGCGAUUGAAUGAGCCGAUGUCGGAUUAGCUAGUUGGCUGGGUAAAGGCCCACCAAGGCGACGAUCCGUAGCUGGUCUGAGAGGAUGAUCAGCCACACUGGAACUGAGACACGGUCCAGACUCCUACGGGAGGCAGCAGUGGGGAAUAUUGGACAAUGGGCGCAAGCCUGAUCCAGCAAUACCGCGUGGGUGAAGAAGGCCUUCGGGUUGUAAAGCCCUUUUGUUGGGAAAGAAAAGAAGCAGGUUAAUACCCCGCUGUUUUGACGGUACCCAAAGAAUAAGCACCGGCUAACUUCGUG
rnacentral:rRNA from 1 species